rnacentral:lncRNA from 1 species
GUCUAGAUAGGUUCUGAAUCAGCAGCACAAGCAUCCUACCUCUAUGGAUACCCACAGGGCCGAUCUCAAUUAUUUUCUCUUGGAUUCUGCUUGCCUGAACCAAAGCCUAAAUAGGCUUGAACCAAACCUGGAUCGAAAUAGAACCCCUUUGAUGACCCUUUUAAUCUUUCUUUCUUGAUUCUUGAAGAAACCAAGAACUUUUCUUGAUCCUUCAACUAAUAAAGAAGAAUAACAAUC